rnacentral:rRNA from 1 species
AUUUCCGAAUGGGAAAACCUGCAUGCCUGGAGGGCAUGCGUGAAAACGGUAAGCCCGUGAACUGAAACAUCUAAGUAACGGGAGGAAAAGAAAGUAAAAACGAUUCCCUGAGUAGCGGCGAGCGAACGGGGAGGAGCCUAAACCGUAUAUGUGUUAAAGCUGGCGGCGUUGCAUAUACGGGGUAGAGGGAACAUACUGGACUGACGCCAUAAGGUCGAGUAUAUCAUGAUGUAAGCGGAACGCGGUUGGAAAGCCGGACCGUAGGAGGUGAGAGUCCUGUAGGGCGUAAAGUCAUGAUAUCUUGUAUGAGAUCCCGAGUAGCAUCGGACACGAGGAAUCCGGUGUGAAUCAGCGUGGACCAUAUCACGCAAGGCUAAAUACUGCUGUUGACCGAUAGUGAAGAGUACCGUGAGGGAAAGGUGAAAAGAACCCUGAGCAAGGGAGUGAAAGAGAAUUUGAAACCGUGUGCUUACAAGCGGUAGGAGCCCUUAGGGGUGACUGCGUGGAUUUUGGUUAAUCAUCCUGCGAGUUAUGAUGUGUGGCGAGGUUAAGUAGAAGCGGAGCCGAAGGGAAACCGAGUCUUAAAAGGGCGCAAGUCGCAUGUCAUAGACGCGAAACCUAGUGAUCUAGGCCUGUCCAGGCUGAAGCUGAGGUAAGACUCAGUGGAGGGCCGAACUCACCGCCGUUGAAAAGUUGGGAGAUGAGAUAGGUCUAGGGGUGAAAAGCCAAUCGAACUAGGAGAUAGCUCGUUCUCUCCGAAAUGCAUUUAGGUGCAGCCUCGGUUGAAGAUAUGCGGGGGUAGAGCACUGUAUGGCCUAGGGGGCGUAUAGCUUACCGAAGUCAAGCAAACUGCGAAUACCGUAUAUUGUUUACCGGGAGUGAGUCUACGGAUGACAAGGUCCGUGGACGAGAGGGGAACAGCCCAGACCGCCGGCUAAGGUCCCAAAUCAUGUCUAAGUGGGAAAGGAGGUGGAUAUUCACAGACAACCAGGAGGUUGGCUUAGAAGCAGCCAUACCUUGAAAGAGUGCGUAAUAGCUCACUGGUCGAGAGUAUCUGCGCCGAAGAUAUAACGGGGCUAAGACAUGAACCGAAGCUGCGGAAGCGUGGUAACACGUUUGGUAGGAGAGCGUUCUGUAGGCCGUAGAAGGUGUCCUGGAAGGGAUGCUGGAGGUAUCAGAAGUGAGAAUGCAGGAAUGAGUAGCGAGAAGGAGGGUGAGAAUCCCUCCGGCCGGAAGUCCAAGGUUUCCAGGGGAAGGUUUGUCCGCCCUGGGGGAGUCGGGACCUAAGCAUAAGCAGAGCUGCGAAGGCGAAUGGAAAACAGGUUAAUAUUCCUGUACCGCUGUGGACUGAUUGAAAGAUGGAGUGACGCAGGAAGGUAUGCGGGAAGGCUGACGGAAUAGCCUUUCUAAGGGUGAAGCGUGGACAUAUAGGCAAAUCCGUAUGUUUAAACGUGAGGCCUGAUGGGGAAGUACCAUAAGGUAUAAGCCGCAGAUCCUACACUGCCGGGAAAAACUUCUAUUUAGGGAAAUAGCGCCCGUACUGUAAACCGACACAGGUGGACAGAGUGAGAAACUUAAGGCCGACAGGACAACUCUGGCUAAGGAACUCUGCAAAAUGGCCCCGUAACUUCGGGAGAAGGGGUACCCGUGCUAACUGAAGGGAGAGACACCUGGAGGGGAAGCGGGUCGCAGUGAAGAGUCCCAAGCAACUGUUUACCAAAAACACAGGUCUAUGCUAAGCUGGAAGGCGACGUAUAUGGGCUGACACCUGCCCAGUGCCGGAAGGUUAAGAGGAGGAUUGAGAGAUUCGAAUUGAAGCCCCGGUGAACGGCGGCCGUAACUAUAACGGUCCUAAGGUAGCGAAAUUCCUUGUCGGGU